AGAAAUUACACUCCAUCUUUGUUUAUUUCAAAAAGCAAGUCCUGAUAACAGAGUUCUAGUCUACUUUAUAUCAUUACGAAAAAGGUGUAAUGACCUGUGAGGCCGAGUCGCGAGUCUUAGAAGGGAAAGGUCUUCUGGGCAAUACGUUAAAUAUACUUGCAUCCACAUGAAGCCGGUUUCUGUUAAACCUAUAACGAUAUUUUUUGAAAACGAUUUCUGGAGUGGAAGAAUCUGACAACGCCGCUUACGCCCACAAUAGUUUGUACCAUCUAUUUGAUCAAGCUGUAACUUGUAUGAGCAAAUUGUAUAAAUUAAGAGAAGGUGUUAAUUUUUACACGCCGAAUGCGCUCAUUUUCCCUUCUCUACUAAAUAAUAAUAAUAUUAACAUUAUAUACCUCAACAUUUUUAACAUGCUCAGACUCAGCGGGUUUCUUUCUCGUGGGGAUGUGAAACUUUUUGAAUUUGAAUAGAAUAAAUACACCAACGUUUUGUAAACAUAGGUGUUUGGACCCUUAGCUUUCGAGUCCAUGUCAAGUCUUUGAUUGUGGGAUUGAUCCGAGUUGCAACUCUCGUUUACAAGUCCCAACCUCUUGGGUAUAUAUUAAGUGUAAAUGCUUAAUGGAUUCAUAAAAACAGACAUUCGCUAUACAGUAGAAUUGUGAUAAAUUUUAUUAUAUAUUUAAUUUGUUAAUAGCUGUUACUUUUUAAAAGUUGUUCCUAGAUAUAAAAAAACAUUCUCUGCAGCGUUUCAGUACCAUAGAAAAAAUAUUUGUAUAGUUCCAGAAGCAUGAACUUUCAUACUGAUAUUCUUCUUAAUAAUAUGAUUUUUAAGCGUAAGAAUUCAAAUACUGAUUUUAAAUAUCUUAUCUACAAUGCAGAUGUUUCGAAAAGUGGAACCUCUAAAAAUAAAUUUUAAGCUAAGAAACAUAGUCUAUAUAAUUUUAUGAUACAGAAAAUAGAUAUGUCAUUAAUAUCCUUAACCAUUGAAGGCACAGAUCAUUAUUUAUUUCGAUGUAAAUGACAAAAAAAGUAAAAAUUAAUCGGUUUUUGAGACUAAUUAAACCUUUCAAUAAUUAAAUUUAACUAAAAUUUGCUAUAUGUCAAUAAACUUAAGUUGAAGUAUCUUGAA
rnacentral:lncRNA from 1 species